UAUGAAAAGGUAAGAGCUUAUAGCUAAACCUUGGUGUAAUUUAACUGAGAUAGAAGAGGGCUUAAUAUUGUACAAACUAAUCUAUUAAGUUUUUUAUUGUAGGCCUUCAUAAGGAAUGCAGGAAAGAUCCUUCAGAAUAUCCAGUAAGGCGUGUUCGAUGUAUCCAAUGAGUCUUCAGGUAUCAAGGUAGGAUAUGGACGCCCCCAGGGCUCAUCAGGAGCUAGAGAUGGAGCUGUUGCUGAGAGAGGAGGAUGUUGUAGCUAACUAAAACACAAAUAUAAUCUGUAUCGUAUUUGAUUAUUUUCCGCACUCCUGUGAACAUAUGUUUACAACUGUUGCAUGAAUUCUGGUUGACAUUUAAUGUAUAGAUCCAACAUUUGUUGUUCCUUGGACCACAUUGAAUUUAAUUGAUAGGGAUUCAAAUCUUUUGAGUGCUUGGAAGUUUCCUUAUUCAGCACUGUUGUACUUUU